rnacentral:misc_RNA from 1 species
GUAGGUGAACCUGCGGAAGGAUCAUUGUCGAAUCCUGCAGACGACCGCGAACACGUUCUCAAAACCCGCGGGGGUGCCCUGGGGAGGCGGUCCCAACUGGCCUCCUCCCCCUCGGCUAACCGCGCCAAACCCUAACUCUCGGCGCGAAAAGCGCCAAGGACUACUCGAACGGAUCGGGCGGAUGCCCCCGCGGCUUCCGCGGUGGGACUCCCCGGCAUCUGAAACGUAACCAACACGACUCUCGGCAACGGAUAUCUAGGCUCUCGCAUCGAUGAAGAACGUAGCAAAAUGCGAUACUUGGUGUGAAUUGCAGAAUCCCGUGAAUCAUCGAGUUUUUGAACGCAAGUUGCGCCCGAAGCCAUCCGGCCAAGGGCACGUCUGCCUGGGCGUCACGCAUCUCGUCGCCACCCCUCCUCGUCCCCACGGGCGUUGACGGGGCGGCGGAAGUUGGCCUCCCGUUCCCCCGUGGCGCGGCUGGCCCAAAUGCGAGCCCCCGGACAAGGGACGUCACGACUUAAGGUGGUUGGACAGGUUUCAUUCUCGCUCUCAGCCGUGACGGCCCCCGGCGGGCCCCGAGCGACCCCCCAG